rnacentral:rRNA from 1 species
UACAGAGGUCGCGAGCGUUGUUCGGAUUUAUUGGGCGUAAAGGGCGCGUAGGCGGCGGGGUAAGUCUGGUGUGAAAUCUAGGAGCUCAACUCCUAAACUGCACUGGAUACUGCUCUGCUAGAGGACUGGAGAGGAGACUGGAAUUCACGGUGUAGCAGUGAAAUGCGUAGAUAUCGUGAGGAAGACCGGUGGCGAAGGCGGGUCUCUGGACAGUUACUGACGCUGAGGCGCGAAAGCCAGGGGAGCAAACAGG